CACGGAAGGUGCACUUCUGGAAGAGAACUCUGCCUGAAUUUGGGAAGUUCGAGGAAGGGAGAAAUAAGAAUUAUUCUCACGCAACAGAGAACCUGCCACCAUGGUCGACAACUUGAGUAACUCCAAUGUAAAGGUCGCUGUUCGACUCCGACCAAUGAACAGAAGAGAAAAGGAUCUGAAGACUAAAUGUGUGGUGGAGAUGAACGGGAACCAGACCGUGUUGAAUCCAGC